AUUGAACGCUGGCGGCAUGCCUUACACAUGCAAGUCGAACGGCAGCACGGGAGCAAUCCUGGUGGCGAGUGGCGAACGGGUGAGUAAUACAUCGGAACGUGCCCAAUCGUGGGGGAUAACGCAGCGAAAGCUGUGCUAAUACCGCAUACGAUCUACGGAUGAAAGCAGGGGAUCGCAAGACCUUGCGCGAAUGGAGCGGCCGAUGGCAGAUUAGGUAGUUGGUGAGGUAAAGGCUCACCAAGCCGUCGAUCUGUAGCUGGUCUGGGAGGACGACCAGCCACACUGGGACUGAGACACGGCCCAGACUCCUACGGGAGGCAGCAGUGGGGAAUUUUGGACAAUGGGCGAAAGCCUGAUCCAGCCAUGCCGCGUGCAGGAUGAAGGCCUUCGGGUUGUAAACUGCUUUUGUACGGAACGAAACGGCCUUUUUCUAAUAAAGAGGGCUAAUGACGGUACCGUAAGAAUAAGCACGGGCUAACUACGUGCCAGCAGCCGCGGUAAUACGUAGGGUGCAAGCGUUAAUCGGAAUUACUGGGCGUAAAGCGUGCGCAGGCGGUUAUGUAAGACAGUUGUGAAAUCCUCGGGCUUCAACCUGGGAACUGCAUCUGUGACUGCAUAGCUAGAGUACGUAGAGGGGGAUGAAUUCCGCGUGUAGCAGUGAAAUGCGUAGAUAUGCGGAGGAACACCGAUGGCGGAUGCAAUCUUCUGGAUGUGUACUGACGCUUCAUGCACGAAGGUUGGGGAGCAAACAGG
rnacentral:rRNA from 1 species